rnacentral:rRNA from 1 species
GAUGAACGCUGGCGGCGUGCCUAAUACAUGCAAGUCGAGCGAACAGACGAGGAGCUUGCUCCUCUGACGUUAUCGGCGGACGGGUGAUUAACACGUGUUUAACCUACCUAUAAGACUGGGAUACCUUCGGGAAACCGUAUCUAAUACCGGAUAAUAUAUUGAACCUCAUGGUUCAAUAGUUAAAUACGGUUUUUCUGUCACUUAUAGAUUGAUCCGCGCCGCAUUAGCUAGUUGGUAAGGUAACGGCUUACCAAGGCAACGAUGCGUAACCGACCUGAGAGGGAGAUCGGACACACUGGAAGUGAGACACGGUCCAGACUCCUACGGGAGGCAGCAGUAGGGAAUAUUACGCAAUGGGCGAAAGCCUGACGGAGCAAAGCCGCGUGAGUGAUGAAGGACUUCGGAUCGUAAAACUAUGUUAUUAGGGAAGAAGAAAAGUGUAAGUAACUAUGAACGUAUUGACGGUACCUAAUCAGAAAGCCACGGCUAACUACGUG